rnacentral:rRNA from 1 species
CGUAGGUGGCAAGCGUUAUCCGGAAUUAUUGGGCGUAAAGCGCGCGUAGGCGGUUUCUUAAGUCUGAUGUGAAAAGCCCACGGCUCAACCGUGGAGGGUCAUUGGAAAACUGGGAAACUUGAGUACAGAAGAGGAAAGUGGAAUUCCAUGUGUAGCGGUGAAAAUGCGCAGAGAUAUGGAGGAACACCAAGUGGCGAAAGGCGACUUUCUGGUCUGUAACUGACGCUGAUGUGCGAAAGCGUGGGGGAUCAAACAGGAUU